rnacentral:rRNA from 1 species
GACGUAGGGCGCGAGCGUUGUCCGGAUUUAUUGGGCGUAAAGAGCUCGUAGGCGGCUUGUCACGUCGGGUGUGGAAGCCCGGGGCUUAACCCCGGGUCUGCAUUCGAUACGGGCUAGCUAGAGUGUGGUAGGGGAGAUCGGAAUUCCUGGUGUAGCGGUGAAAUGCGCAGAUAUCAGGAGGAACACCGGUGGCGAAGGCGGAUCUCUGGGCCAUUACUGACGCUGAGGAGCGAAAGCGUGGGGAGCGAACAGG